GAGUAAGAAUAUUGUUGGUGUUCUUAACUCAAGAGAAAUGUUUUUAAUUAUUUAUUCAUUAAAGUUUAAAAACCCGGCUAAGUGAAUCAUAGAAUAUUAAGCACUACACCAUGACUUAAGAUUAGCUUCACGAGACCUAUUAAGAAUAGAAUUUCUUGUAGGCUUUGUGACCAGGGGGAUUAGCGCUGCUUUCCCAAGACAGGUUUAUAAGUGAUUAUGAUCUUCAGGCUUUGCCUAACCAGGUUGGCUGGCCGGUGCUGACGGGACGGAGCUGAGGCUAGAGUUAAAUUCCUAUGUUAGACUUCCGCUGUAGCAAUUACUCAUAUCAGUCUUUUGUUUUCCCAACUUAAGAUCUUCAUGUUAAAUUUCAAAUGAUAUACCUGACCGAGCUUAGACUCUUCACUACUAAAUUUAUGCCAAUGAAUGUUGGUUGUCAGAAGCAUGAAACAAAACUUGUGAUCCAAAGGGGCUUAGCCCGACUCGUUAUCUUAUUAUUCGGGUUUUAACAAGGUUGUUCCUUGUUUAUUUCUA